AUGGGAACCUUGUCACCUGCGCCUGAUCUCCGUUGUGUACAGUCAGUCCUGACACCUGCAUCUAUACAUAUAGUUUUUUUAAUGAUACGGCGACCACCGAGAUCUACACAUAGAGGCACACUCUUUCCCUACACGACGCUCUUCCGAUCUAUAAUCCUGUACACGAAGCCAGAUCAGGCAUAGCGGUAUCCUGAGUAACGCGGGACACGAGGAAUCCUGCGCGAAUCUGCCGGGACCAUCCGGUAAGGCUAAAUACUCCCGUGAGACCGAUAGCGAACGAGUACUGUGAAGGAAAGGUGAAAAGAACCCCGAGCAGGGGAGUGAAAUAGUUCCUGAAACCAUACGCCUACAAGCGGUCGGAGCAUCGCAAGAUGUGACGGCGUGCCUUUUGCAUAAUGAUCCUACGAGUUACCGUCACUGGCGAGGUUGAGUGUCAUGAGACACGUAGCCGCAGUGAAAGCGAGCCUGAAUAGGGCGCACAGUCAGUGGGGGUAGACGCGAAACCAAGUGAUCUACACUUGGCCAGGAUGAAGUCCCGGUAACACGGGAUGGAGGUCCGCACCAAUAAGCGUUGAAAAGCUUCUGGAUGAGCCGAGUGUAGGAGUGAAAGGCCAAUCAAACUUGGAGAUAGCUCGUACUCCCCGAAAGGCAUUUAGGUGCCGCGUCGGAUGGUCACCGUGAGAGGUAGAGCGACCGAUAGGACAAGAGGGCUUCACCGCCUAUCGAGUCCUGACGAACUCCGAAUGCUCACGGUCUGCAGUCCGGCAGUAAGGGGGCGGGUGCUAAGGUCCGUCCCCGAGAGGAGAAGAAUCCAGACCGCCGUCUAAGGUCCCGGAGUUCUGCCUGAGUUAGUCUAACGAAGUCUGGUCCCUAUGACAGCUAGGAUGUUGGCUUGGAAGCAGCCAUUCAUUCAAAGAGUGCGUAACAGCUCACUAGUCGAGGGUCCGGGCAUGGAUAAUAAUCGGGUAUAAGGCAGACACCGAAGGCGCGGGAUAGCAAUUAUAAAAGUAUCGGUAGGGGAGCAUACUCACAGCGUCGAAUGGUGUACGUAAGUUAUCCUGGAGCGGUGAGUAAAGCAAAUGUAGGAAUAAGUAACGAUAAGGAGGGUUAGAUUCCCUCCCGCUGUAAGACCAAGGUUUCCCGGGCAAUGCCAAUCAGCCCGGGGUCAGUCGGGUCCUAAGUCUAAGCCGAACGGCGAUGGCGAUGGCAGAGACGGUUAAUAUUCCGUCACUGCCGCAUGGGGCGACGUGGAGACGGAGCAGUGAAACCACCGCGGGGCGACGGAAGUCCCCGUUGAAGGGUGUAGGCGUUGAGGAUGGCAGGCAAAUCCACCAUCCGAGCUGAACCUGACAGUACGGAGUCCUCCUCGGAGGAAUCUGAUAGUGUGGGUAAUCAUACUCCCGAGAAAAUCCGCUAAGCUUAACCCAUGCGGCACCCGUACCGCAAACGGACACACGUGGUCGGGUAGAACAUACUAAGGCGUUGAGAGAUUCAUGGUUAAGGAACUAGGCAAAUUGACCCUGUAACUUCGGGAUAAAGGGUCCUCGUGAUGAGCGAGGCGCAGAGAAUAGGUCCAGGCAACUGUUUAACAAAAACACAGGGCUGUGCAAACUCGAAAGAUGACGUAUACAGCCUGACACCUGCCCGGUGCCGGAAGGUUAAGAGGAGAUGUCACUCGCAAGAGGAAGCAUUGAAUUGAAGCCCCGGUAAACGGCGGCCGUAACUAUAACGGUCCUAAGGUAGCGAAAUUCCUUGUCGGGUAAGUUC
rnacentral:rRNA from 1 species